AGAGACUACGGCAUUUGGGGAAGGGCCAUUUUGUCAUUGACUGGAACUUUCUCAAGAAAGCAUUUUCCACUUGCGUUUCCAUGGAGGUCGGCUUUGCUGGAAACCACAGGACCCUGCCCUCCACCAGACACACAGUGUGCAGAGGCGUGUACCCGAAAAGCAAAGUGCGGCCUCACACGGUUCUUUAAUCUGGAGCCGGACUCCUGGGAAACAAACCAAACAGACGCAGGUAAGGUCGGACGUCCCUCUGCUGGCCCAUCUCCUGCGCCACACCCACCAUUCCCUUCUCACCCCCUGAAGCUCCCUCGUCCUCACAAAAGCAGCAGGGCCACUUAUGCGCCGUCCUGUUUUUCUGGACACCAUGACCAGGAUGGGACAGGACUCGUGAACCCACACGUGAGAUCACACUAAGAUCCUAAAGGCUUUGCGCUUCUCCAGAGCGGCUGCUGUCUCAUGCACACCCGGCCUGGUGUGCCCGCCCCACCCAGUGUGCCCAUCCUGCCCAGUGAGUGUC
rnacentral:lncRNA from 1 species